CGCUGGCGGCGUGCUAAUACAUGCAAGUCGAGCGAACGGACGAGAAGCUUGCUUCUCUGAUGUUAGCGGCGGACGGGUGAGUAACACGUGGAUAACCUACCUAUAAGACUGGGAUAACUUCGGGAAACCGGAGCUAAUACCGGAUAAUAUUUUGAACCGCAUGGUUCAAAAGUGAAAGACGGUCUUGCUGUCACUUAUAGAUGGAUCCGCGCUGCAUUAGCUAGUUGGUAAGGUAACGGCUUACCAAGGCAACGAUGCAUAGCCGACCUGAGAGGGUGAUCGGCCACACUGGAACUGAGACACGGUCCAGACUCCUACGGGAGGCAGCAGUAGGGAAUCUUCCGCAAUGGGCGAGAGCCUGACGGAGCAACGCCGCGUGAGUGAUGAAGGUCUUCGGAUCGUAAAACUCUGUUAUUAGGGAAGAACAUAUGUGUAAGUAACUGUGCACAUCUUGACGGUACCUAAUCAGAAAGCCACGGCUAACUACGUGCCAGCAGCCGCGGUAAUACGUAGGUGGCAAGCGUUAUCCGGAAUUAUUGGGCGUAAAGCGCGCGUAGGCGGUUUUUUAAGUCUGAUGUGAAAGGCCCACGGGUCAACCGUGGAGGGUCACUUGGAGACUGGAACACUUGAGUGCAGAAGAGGAAACGUGGAAUUCCACUGGUGUUACCCGGGUGGAACAUUGGCGGCCAGAGAUAUUGGGAAGGGAACAACCAGUUGGGCGAAAGGCGAACUCUNCUGGGUCCUGGUAACUUGGACACGCGUGAUAUGUGGUGA
rnacentral:rRNA from 1 species